UACGAAGGGUGCAAACGUUGCUCGGAAUCAUUGGGCGUAAAGCGCACGUAGGCGGCAUUCUAAGUCGGAUGUGAAAUCCCUCGGCUCAACCGAGGACGUGCAUCCGAAACUGGAACGCUCGAGUAUGGAAGAGGGUCGCGGAAUUCUCGGUGUAGAGGUGAAAUUCGUAGAUAUCGGGAGGAACACCAGUGGCGAAGGCGGCGACCUGGGCCAAUACUGACGCAUGAGGUGCGAAA
rnacentral:rRNA from 1 species